rnacentral:rRNA from 1 species
GAUGAACGCUGGCGGCGUGCCUAAUACAUGCAAGUCGAGCGAACAGAUGAGGAGCUUGCUCCUCUUACGUUAGCGGCGGACGGGUGAGUAACACGUGGAUAACCUACCUAUAAGACUGGGAUAACUUCGGGAAACCGGAGCUAAUACCGGAUAAUAUAUUGAACCGCAUGGUUCAAUAGUGAAAGACGGUUUUGCUGUCACUUAUAGAUGGAUCCGCGCCGCAUUAGCUAGUUGGUAAGGUAACGGCUUACCAAGGCAACGAUGCGUAGCCGACCUGAGAGGGUGAUCGGCCACACUGGAACUGAGACACGGUCCAGACUCCUACGGGAGGCAGCAGUAGGGAAUCUUCCGCAAUGGGCGAAAGCCUGACGGAGCAACGCCGCGUGAGUGAUGAAGGUCUUCGGAUCGUAAAACUCUGUUAGUAGGGAAGAACAAAUGUGUAAGUAACUAUGCACGUCUUGACGGUACCUAAUCAGAAAGCCACGGCUAACUACGUG